rnacentral:rRNA from 1 species
UACGGAGGAUCCGAGCGUUAUCCGGAUUUAUUGGGCGUAAAGGGAACGCAGGCGGUCUUUUAAGUCUGAUGUGAAAGCCUUCGGCUUAACCGGAGUAGUGCAUUGGAAACUGGGAGACUUGAGUGCAGAAGAGGAGAGUGGAACUCCAUGUGUAGCGGUGAAAUGCGUAGAUAUAUGGAAGAACACCAGUGGCGAAAGCGGCUCUCUGGUCUGUAACUGACGCUGAGGUUCGAAAGCGUGGGUAGCAAACAGG